UUCAAAUACUGCAUGCUGAUUUGUAAUUACAGUAGAUUGGAGUAAGGAUUGGAUCCGACACUGAAGGACUUCAAGAAGUGGCUUAUUUUCAAAUUAAGAAAUAUAGUUUUUAUUAAAAGCUACAUUUGUAAAACAUGGAAUUUAUUCCAUCCAUUUAAAUAAAAUCCGGUGUUUCUAAACUCUGAUAUUUUUCCUAACUCACGGUCCUGAUGAAAUUUCCGCUGCAAUAUGUUUUUCAAAAUAAUCACCGGUACCACUGGACUGCUCACGACACUGAUUCCGGCUAGAUGGGGUCAGGGGCCGUGACAACCUAUAUAUCCAAGAUAUUGUUACCCACAGAAUAAGCAAGUUUGAAUUU
rnacentral:lncRNA from 1 species